UGCAGUCGAACGGAUCCUUCGGGAUUAGUGGCAGACGGGUGAGUAACGCGUGGGAAGCUACCUUGUGGUAGGGAACAACAGUUGGAAACGACUGCUAAUACCCUAUGAGCCCUAUGGGGGAAAGAUUUAUCGCCAUGAGAUGUGCCCGCGUUAGAUUAGCUAGUUGGUAAGGUAAUGGCUUACCAAGGCGACGAUCUAUAGCUGGUCUGAGAGGAUGAUCAGCCACACUGGGACUGAGACACGGCCCAGACUCCUACGGGAGGCAGCAGUGGGGAAUAUUGGACAAUGGGGGCAACCCUGAUCCAGCCAUGCCGCGUGAGUGAUGACGGCCUUAGGGUUGUAAAGCUCUUUCAGCAGUGAAGAUAAUGACAUUAACUGCAGAAGAAGCCCCGGCUAACUUCGUGCCAGCAGCCGCGGUAAUACGAAGGGGGCUAGCGUUGUUCGGAAUCACUGGGCGUAAAGCGUACGUAGGCGGACUGAUCAGUCAGGGGUGAAAUCCCGGGGCUCAACCCCGGAACUGCCUUUGAUACUGUCAGUCUUGAGAUCGAGAGAGGUGAGUGGAACUCCGAGUGUAGAGGUGAAAUUCGUAGAUAUUCGGAAGAACACCAGUGGCGAAGGCGGCUCACUGGCUCGAUACUGACGCUGAGGUACGAAAGCGUGGGGAGCAAACAGGAUUAGAUA
rnacentral:rRNA from 1 species